AGAACGAACGCUGGCGGCAGGCUUAACACAUGCAAGUCGAACGCCCCGCAAGGGGAGUGGCAGACGGGUGAGUAACGCGUGGGAAUCUACCCAGUUCUACGGAAUAACACAGGGAAACUUGUGCUAAUACCGUAUACGCCCUACGGGGGAAGAUUUAUCGGGAUUGGAUGAGCCCGCGUUGGAUUAGCUAGUUGGUGGGGUAAUGGCCUACCAAGGCGACGAUCCAUAGCUGGUCUGAGAGGAUGAUCAGCCACACUGGGACUGAGACACGGCCCAGACUCCUACGGGAGGCAGCAGUGGGGAAUAUUGGACAAUGGGCGCAAGCCUGAUCCAGCCAUGCCGCGUGAGUGAUGAAGGCCUUAGGGUUGUAAAGCUCUUUCAGUGGGGAAGAUAAUGACGGUACCCACAGAAGAAGCCCCGGCUAACUUCGUGCCAGCAGCCGC
rnacentral:rRNA from 1 species